rnacentral:rRNA from 1 species
UGGGGAAUAUUGGACAAUGGGCGAAAGCCUGAUCCAGCCAUGCCGCGUGUGUGAAGAAGGUCUUCGGAUUGUAAAGCACUUUAAGUUGGGAGGAAGGGCAGUAAGUUAAUACAUUGCUGUUUUGACGUUACCGACAGAAUAAGCACCGGCUAACUCUGUGCCAGCAGCCGCGGUAAUACAGAGGGUGCAAGCGUUAAUCGGAAUUACUGGGCGUAAAGCGCGCGUAGGUGGUUUGUUAAGUUGGAUGUGAAAGCCCCGGGCUCAACCUGGGAACUGCAUCCAAAACUGGCAAGCUAGAGUACGGUAGAGGGUGGUGGAAUUUCCUGUGUAGCGGUGAAAUGCGUAGAUAUAGGAAGGAACACCAGUGGCGAAGGCGACCACCUGGACUGAUACUGACACUGAGGUGCGAAAGCGUGGGGAGCAAACA